AAUAAACCAAUUUUUUACUUUUUAUCUAUAAUUUUUGACUCUUCGUCUUAUUCAAAUUUUUUUGCGGUUGAUAUUUUUGUUUUUAUUAGAUGAUAAAUCAUGAAUAGUACUCUACAUGUGACUAAUUUUUUUUUAAUUUUCUGAAUUUUUUUUAAAUAAGACGGAUAGUCAAACGUUGAACAUGAAAACCGGAG
rnacentral:pre_miRNA from 1 species